rnacentral:rRNA from 1 species
CCUACGGGAGGCAGCAGUGGGGAAUAUUGCGCAAUGGGCGAAAGCCUGACGCAGCGACGCCGCGUGAGGGAUGAAGGUCUUCGGAUCGGAAACCUCUGUCAGCAGGGAAGAACGGUCACUGUGCUAAUCAUCAGUGAAUUGACGGUACCUGCAAAGGAAGCACCGGCUAACUCCGUGCCAGCAGCCGCGGUAAUACGGAGGGUGCGAGCGUUAAUCGGAAUUACUGGGCGUAAAGGGCUCGUAGGCGGUAUGUCAAGUCAAGGGUGAAAUCCCCGCGCUCAACGUGGGAACUGCCUUUGAAAACGGUAAAGUGGAGUGUGUGAGAGGAUAGUGGAAUUCCAGGUGUAGGAGUGAAAUCCGUAGAGAUCUGGAGGAACAUCAGUGGCGAAGGCGACUAACCGGGACAUAACUGACGCUGAGGAGCGAAAGCGUGGGUAGCAAACAGGAUUAGAUACCCUAGUAGUC